CCAUUUUAAUUUUUUUCUCGAAAACGAAGAUUCCUAUCGAAAAAAGUUGCUCUUGGUAAAAUCUCCGGCUGGCCACGCCCUGUCCACUGGGGCGUUGGCAGCUUUCCACACUGGAUGGGUUUCGAGAAAAUGGACAAAACAUGGUUUUCAAAAAACUGCAACUAUCUCCACAACCAGAGCAGCUGGAAGCAACCCAGUUGCACCAGUCAAUAGACCGUGCCAAGCGCCAUAAAACAGCUGGUAUUCACUUUUCCGCUAGGUCCAAUGAUAAGCCAGCAAUUGCCCGAUUUUUCAAAAUUACGGAAAAAUUUUGGGGAAAAUUUCGAAAUUUUCCAAAAUCCUCCCACGUCCAAUUACGGUCAAAUGUUGACAUAGGAGCCGUUUACUGGUCCAAAGGGACCCUUUGCACCCAAAAUCUAAAGAAAAACUGAAAAUUUCUCCGGACUUUUGCAUCGGCAUCUACAUGGAAAAUUUAUUUGGAAUCACGCAGUUGCCCAAAAAAACAGCAAACUACUGCCGGAAGGCUGGAAUGAGCACCAAGAACGGGAACGCUCGACAGAAAAAAUCGAAAAUUUCAAUAUUUCUGAACCAAAAAUUCAUCCGUUAUUGAAUAAAAAAAACCUUCUGCCUCUAACAGCCUCUUGCAAUGUUGCCACUCGUGUUUUUCAAUUUCCUCGCAAAAUCGAGUCGAAACGAAUUUCGGUCAAAAAUCAAAAUUUUUUACGUCUAACUGUCUACCCGUCUUUGCACAAUAAAGCGAAUAAAACCCAAAAAACUUGCUUUGCCGGUUACUGCUUUGACCUUUUGGCCCAGUUCCCCGCCCCAGCAGAGCGAAUGACCGGCAGACCGGCGGGUCAUUAGCUCCGCGAUCGUCGACCAUGCGCCUGCCCCUGUGCUGGCUGCUGCUGCCCCUCAUGGCCUUGGCCGCCCCCGCUCAGCCGCCCCAGAACAUCCAGGUCGACGGGCUGUCCCUGGUGUGGUCGCCCGCCUCCCUGCGGGCCGCCGCCGCCCUCCUGCAGCCGGCCCUCCACGGCCCCAGCCAGCCAAGGGGGCGCGCCCGCCCCCCAACGCCAGAAAACCCCACUUUCCAUAAGUAAAUGUAUUGCAACAUCAUCGCCCUGUACACUUUAUACAACAAGAAACCGCAUUAUACAGGGUGGUCCGCCAAUCUGCCCGUCGAGUGCAAA
rnacentral:lncRNA from 1 species